UACAGAGACUGCAAGCGUUAUUCGGAUUCACUGGGCGUAAAGGGUGCGCAGGCGGCCGUGUGUGUGAGGCGUGAAAGCCCGGAGCUCAACUCCGGAAUUGCACCUCAAACUACACGGCUAGAGCAUUGGAGAGGGUAGCGGAAUUCACGGUGUAGCAGUGAAAUGCGUAGAUAUCGAUGAGGAACACCAGAGGCGAAGGCGGCUACCUGGACAAUUGCUGACGCUCAGGCACGAAAGCGUGGGGAGCAAAAGGG
rnacentral:rRNA from 1 species